UACAGGGGGGGCAAGCGUUGUUCGGAAUUACUGGGCGUAAAGGGCUCGUAGGUGGCCAACUAAGUCAUACGUGAAAUCCCUCGGCUUAACCGGGGAACUGCGUCUGAUACUGGAUGGCUUGAGUUUGGGAGAGGGAUGCGGAAUUCCAGGUGUAGCGGUGAAAUGCGUAGAUAUCUGGAGGAACACCGGUGGCGAAGGCGGCAUCCUGGACCAAUACUGACACUGAGGAGCGAAAGCCAGGGGAGCAAACGGG
rnacentral:rRNA from 1 species